GCGCACGGGUGAGUAACGCGUAUCCAACCUGCCCCUUACUACGGGACAGCCCGGCGAAAGUCGGAUUAAUACCGUAUGUGGUGUGAAGAGGGCAUCUGACUUACACUAAAGAUUCGUCGGUAAGGGAUGGGGAUGCGUCCGAUUAGGUUGUCGGCGGGGUAACGGCCCACCGAGCCCGCGAUCGGUAGGGGUUCUGAGAGGAAGGUCCCCCACACUGGAACUGAGACACGGUCCAGACUCCUACGGGAGGCAGCAGUGAGGAAUAUUGGUCAAUGGGCGAGAGCCUGAACCAGCCAAGUAGCGUGAGGGAAGACUGCCCUAUGGGUUGUAAACCUCUUUAGUCUGGGAAUAAAGUUGGCGACGUGUCGCCUUUUGUAGGUACCAGAAGAAUAAGGACCGGCUAAUUCCGUGCCAGCAGCCGCGGUAAUACGGAAGGUCCGGGCGUUAUCCGGAUUUAUUGGAUUUAAAGGGAGCGCAGGCGGCCUGUUAAGCGGGCAGUUAAAGGCGGUGGCUCAACCAUCGUUAGCUGUCCGAACUGCCGGGCUUGAGUACGUGCGAGGUAUGCGGAAUUCGUGGUGUAGCGGUGAAAUGCUUAGAUAUCACGAAGAACUCCGAUUGCGAAGGCAGCAUACCAGUGCGCCACUGACGCUAAAGCUCGAAAGCGCGGGUAUCGAACAGGAUUAGAUACCCUGGUAGUCCGCACGGUAAACGAUGGAUGCCCGCUGUCCGCCCCGUUUAGUGGGUGGGUGGCCAAGCGAAAGCAUUAAGCAUCCCACCUGGGGGAGUACGCCGGCACGGUGAAACUCAAAGGAAUUGACGGGGGCCCGCCAGCGGAGGAACAUGUGUUUAAUCGAUGAUACCGAGAACUUUACCCGGCUGAAUGCAGCGAAGGAGCAGAGAUGCUGACGCCCCUCGGGGCCGCUGUGAAGGGUGCUGCAUGGUUGUCGUCAGCUCGUGCCGUGAGGUGUCGGCUUAAGUGCCAUAACGAGCGCAACCCCUCUCUUCAGUUGCCAUCGGGCUAUGCCGGGCACUCUGGAGACACUGCCACCGCAAGGUGUGAGGAAGGUGGGGACGACGUCAAAUCAGCACGGCCCUUACGUCCGGGGCUACACACGUGUUACAAUGGGUGGCACAGAGAGUCGGCGCUGCGCAAGCCGCGCCCAAUCAAGAAAUCCAUCCUCAGUUCGGAUUGGGGUCUGCAACCCGACCCCAUGAAGCUGGAUUCGCUAGUAAUCGCGCAUCAGCCAUGGCGCGGUGAAUACGUUCCCGGGCCUUGUACACACCGCCCGUCAAGCCAUGAAAGCCGGGGGCGCCUGAAGUCCGUGACCGCGAGGGUCGGCCUAGGGUGAAACCGGUGAUUGGGGCUAAGUCGUAACAAGGUAACCGUA
rnacentral:rRNA from 1 species